UUAGUGGCGAACGGGUGAGUAACACGUGGGCAAUCUGCCCUGCACUCUGGGAUAACUCCGGGAAACCGGGGCUAAUACCGGAUACGACCUUAGGGCGCAUGCCCUGGGGUGGAAAGUUCCGGCGGUGCAGGAUGAGCCCGCGGCCUAUCAGCUUGUUGGUGGGGUAAUGGCCUACCAAGGCGACGACGGGUAGCCGGCCUGAGAGGGCGACCGGCCACACUGGGACUGAGACACGGCCCAGACUCCUACGGGAGGCAGCAGUGGGGAAUAUUGCACAAUGGGCGAAAGCCUGAUGCAGCGACGCCGCGUGAGGGAUGACGGCCUUCGGGUUGUAAACCUCUUUCAGCAGGGAAGAA
rnacentral:rRNA from 1 species